rnacentral:lncRNA from 1 species
GGCGGGGACCGGCGGGUAGGGCGUGGUCAGCGGGGACCCGCUCCGCAGGCGACGGCCGGCUUGCAGGAACCGGUCCCGAAACUAGGGGGCGCUCGCCUUGGGCCGGGCGCUGGACCCGGUGAGGUUCCUCAGGGGAGUGCGUCAGAUUCUUGCAGCCUCCCCGUCCUGGAAACUAGGCAGGUGUGCUGGGCGCCGUGGGCAGACAGGUGCAGCUCCACCCUCCAUCUGUGAGCCCAGACUGGAACCUCCAAGCCGAGUGGGGGGCAACAAGGAAAACUACGUAGUGUCCUUGGGGACAGUGGUGUGGAUGGGUCUCCACAGGGGCAGGGCCAAGGUGGAUUCACUGGCACCGCGGGACAGCAAGGUGUGAUCGGUUGGAUAAGCAAGGAAACCCCCACAUCUGAGCACCUACACUUGGAAGAGGACACUGUUCAGAGUGACCUUUGGCACCGAGUGCAGGACAGUCCAGAAGUGGGUUGGGUGAGGUGUUGCCAGGUGGAGGACUAUUGAAUGUGCUGUGCAUUUGCCUAUGUUGGAAAUCCUGUGGAUUUGGAGAAGAUGGUGGCAGAAGCAAGAAUUUUGAAUCCCCUCGAGUCCUCCCAUAAAACUCAGAGCAGCAAGCAGAAAAACGAAGCUCAAGGGCAUCCUCACGAGCAGGUGGAGGCCAAGUCCCAGCCUCACCGCACAGUUAGCACAUGUGUGCAAGGCCCUCAUCACCCUGUCACAGUUUUUUUUUUUUUUGGUACCAGGGAUCAAGCUCAGGUCCUUUGGCUUGCAAGGCAGGCGGCAGAACCGCUAAGCUAAAUCCCCAGCCCCUGUUACAGUUUUGAUCUGAAAUGUCCCCCAAAUUUGGGAAUUUGUACCCGUAAGAAAUAAAAAAGAAAAUGUCCCCC